UCCAUUAUUUUUGGAAUACCUCUGCAACAGAAAGAGAAAAUCAGCUUUCACCAUUGGCGCGCCAUUAUCUCCAUUCCAUUGACACAUUAUUCAUUGCUCCACCUCUAUCAGAUUCAUCAGUGCACCUGCUUCUCCACCAACAAACUUACGACACCUCCGUAGGCAACUUCUUUCAGCAACACACACGAAAAGGUGGGAGUCUCCAUUAUAUUUAAAAAGGGCAUCA
rnacentral:lncRNA from 1 species